AUGGAGGGUUUGAUCCUGGCUCAGCGCGAACGCUGGCGGCGUGCCUAACACAUGCAAGUCGAGGGGCAGCAGGCCAGAACCUUCGGGUUCUGGUGCUGGCGACCGGCGGACGGGUGAGUAACGCGUGGGUAACCUACCCCAUGGACUGGGAUAACCCUUCGAAAGGGGGGCUAAUACCGGAUAAGCUCACGGCCUGUUAUGGGUUGUGAGAAAAGGUGGCCUCUGAUCCCUUCGGGGUCCCCGCAAAGUCGCAAGACUUUGUGGGGUGAAUCAUGCUACCGCCAUGGGAUGGGCCCGCGUCCUAUCAGCUAGUUGGUGGGGUAAGAGCCUACCAAGGCUACGACGGGUAGCCGGCCUGAGAGGGUGGUCGGCCACACUGGCACUGAGACACGGGCCAGACUCCUACGGGAGGCAGCAGUGGGGAAUAUUGGGC
rnacentral:rRNA from 1 species